rnacentral:rRNA from 1 species
CGAGUGAAGCGGCAACAGCUCAAAUUUGAAAUCUGGCCUCCUCCGGGGGCCCGAGUUGUAAUUUGCAGAGGGUGCUUUGGCGUCGGCAGCGGUCUAAGUUCCUUGGAACAGGACAUCACAGAGGGUGAGAAUCCCGUACGUGGUCGCCUGCCUUCGCCGUGUAAAGCCCCUUCGACGAGUCGAGUUGUUUGGGAAUGCAGCUCUAAAUGGGAGGUAAAUUUCUUCUAAAGCUAAAUACUGGCCAGAGACCGAUAGCGCACAAGUAGAGUGAUCGAAAGAUGAAAAGCACUUUGGAAAGAGAGUCAAACAGCACGUGAAAUUGUUGAAAGGGAAGCGCUUGCAGCCAGACUUGCUCGCAGUUGCUCAUCCGGGCUUUUGCCCGGAGCACUCUUCUGCGAGCAGGCCAGCAUCAGUUUGGGCGACCGGAUAAUGGCCUCUGUCAUGUAUCUUCCUUCGGGAUGACCUUAUAGGGGAGGCGUCAUGCGGUCAGCCCGGACUGAGGUCCGCGCAUCUGCUAGGAUGCUGGCGUAAUGGCUGUAAGCGGCCCGUCUUGAAACACGGACCAAGGAGUCUAACAUCUAUGCGAGUGUUUGGGUGUCAAGCCCGGGCGCGUAAUGAAAGUGAACGGAGGUGGGAACCCUCUCGGGGGCGCACCAUCGACCGAUCCUGAUGUCUUCGGAUGGAUUUGAGUAAGAGCAUAGCUGUUGGGACCCGAAAGAUGGUGAACUAUGCUUGAAUAGGGUGAAGCCAGAGGAAACUCUGGUGGAGGCUCGCAGCGGUUCUGACGUGCAAAUCGAUCGUCAAAUUUGGGCAUAGGGGCGAAAGACUAAUCGAACUAUCUAGUAGCUGGUUCCUGCCGAAGUUUCCCUCAGGAUAGCAGUAACGUAUUCAGUUUUAUGAGGUAAAGCGAAUGAUUAGAGGCCUGGGGGUUGAAACAACCUUCACCUAUUCUCAAACUUUAAAUAUGUAAGAAGUCCUUGUUACUUAAUUGAACGUGGACAUUUGAAUGUACCGUUACUAGUGGGCCAUUUUUGGUAAGCAGAACUGGCGAUGCGGGAUGAACCGAACGCGGGGUUAAGGUGCCAGAAUGCACGCUCAUCAGACACCACAAAAGGUGUUAGUUCAUCUAGACAGCAGGACGGUGGCCAUGGAAGUCGGAAUCCGCUAAGGAGUGUGUAACAACUCACCUGCCGAAUGAACUAGCCCUGAAAAUGGAUGGCGCUCAAGCGUGCUACCCAUACCCCGCCGCUGGGGCAGACAUUAUGCCCCAGCGAGUAGGCAGGCGU